AGCUUUGCACAGUGGCAGUAUCGUAGCCACUGAGGUUUAUCCAAGGCGCGAUUAUUGCUAAUUGAAAACUUUUCCCAAUAACCCGCCAUGACGACUUGAAACAAAUGCCAUUAGCUGAUUUUGUAACUUGAGUGCUGAC